rnacentral:rRNA from 1 species
UGGGGAAUAUUGCACAAUGGGCGAAAGCCUGAUGCAGCAACGCCGCGUGAGUGAUGAAGGUCUUCGGAUUGUAAAGCUCUGUCUUUUGGGACGAUAAUGACGGUACCAAAGGAGGAAGCCACGGCUAACUACGUGCCAGCAGCCGCGGUAAUACGUAGGUGGCGAGCGUUGUCCGGAUUUACUGGGCGUAAAGGGUGCGUAGGCGGAUGUUUAAGUGAGAUGUGAAAUACCCGGGCUUAACUUGGGUGCUGCAUUUCAAACUGGAUAUCUAGAGUGCAGGAGAGGAGAAUGGAAUUCCUAGUGUAGCGGUGAAAUGCGUAGAGAUUAGGAAGAACACCAGUGGCGAAGGCGAUUCUCUGGACUGUAACUGACGCUGAGGCACGAAAGCGUGGGUAGCAAACAGGAUUAGAUACCCUGGUAGUCCACGCCGUAAACGAUGAGUACUAGGUGUAGGAGGUAUCGACCCCUUCUGUGCCGCAGUAAAACACAUUAAAGUACUCCGCCUGGGAAGUAC